GGGGGCGCACCGGUUUCGACCUGGGAGUCCUGCUUGGGACGGCAUGCCGAGGAUGGUUCGUUGGCCUCGUAAAACACCGGACCAAAACAUCAACUGCUACCGAAGAGUUGGCUCUCGCGGCUUAAUUGCCUGAGACGUCUGUCAGGUGACGCCUGCUGGCUUGACAGACGCUAUUAGCAGGUUGGGUCGAUGGCGGAGUUCGCGCGUCGUCGGCCGACAUUUUCAUGCGAGCUGGAUCUCCGGGUUGGCCGUCAGCCCUUUACCCGGAGCUCGAGACCAAAGGCUGGCUAAGCAUGUAGUUCGUUCCUUGUAGAAUUGCCAGGGACAGGGGUUCAACUCCCCUCGCCUCCACCA
rnacentral:tmRNA from 1 species